rnacentral:lncRNA from 1 species
GAGAGUAAAGGGUAGACCAGAAGGGCCAGGUAACAAAAUGGCUGGACUAAAUGGGGAAGGGUGGCUGGUGGAAGGGUUACCCAGCUCCUGGGCUGGAAAUGUUUAGGGUAGGGGGCAGGGUUUGCCAGCCAUACUCUAUUACAGAUAGGAACUGAGGGAUGCUGGGAAAACCUGAUGGCCAUUGUCUGCUUUGAUAUGUUAAUGGACACCUGUUAGCUGGUUGUCCAGAGUUUGAGACCUAACAUCCCAGCCUCUUUUUGUUGAUAAUAAGAGGAGACACAAUCUUUUCUAUGACUAAUUCCUGCUGACCCUGGGGAAUCGUUGGUAGGAACAGAAGAAAGCAGGAAUGUUGGCCAAGACCUGAAAGAGAGGGAGGGGAGUGGAGUCUGCUUUGCUUGCUGUCCAGGCUCUCGGGACCAUCUGAGGAAGUGCAGGCCUCUUUGUAGAGGUCUGUGAUGCUGGACCACCCUCAGCUAGCCAGCCACUUUGGAGCUGUGGUAUAGAUUCCAAAGGAAUACCUGAAGCUGGAGGGAAAUGAGAAAAAAUGAACACCCAGAAGCUGGCAGCUCACCUGGUCCUGUGUCCACAAGUGGUGAAGAGACCUCCUCUCAAAUAAGAUAGAAGGAAGACUCUGUUCUUCCAGAAACCUCCGGAGACAGAUACCCACCAGACCAUCAAGAGCCUCUUGCCAUUGAAUACUUCUUAUCACCCAAACCACUAAACCAUGAAGCUUUACCCACAUGUCUACCUCUUAAAGUUUGUCAACUAUAUUAUUAUUUCAUACUUGUUGGUGUCGUCAACCCUAAGUGAAUAUUCAAUCAUUAUCCACUUGAAAUGGACGAAUGAACACAUCUCAAGGUUCUUCUGUUCAUGUUGCCUUUACUUGCGUUUUGGGUUUUUAUUCUGGUUUCACUCCUAGUAGAAUAAUGAUUUACUAAUUAAAGAGAAGAGACGAGAAGAGGAGUCAGAUGGUGGUGGCACACAUCUUUAAUCCCAAUACUCUGGAGGCAGAAGCAAGUUGAUCUCCCAGUUCAAGGGCAACCUGGUAUAGAGUGAGUUCCAGGACAGCCAGGGUUACACAGAGAAACCCUGCCGAAAGAAAGAAAAGAAAAGAAAAGAAAAGAAAAGAAAAGAAAAGAAAAGAAAAGAAAAGAAAAGAAAAGAAAAGAAAUAUGGUGUUACUAUGUAGCUCCAACUGGCCACAAACUUGAUAUUCUUCUGCUUCAGCCUCUCAAAUGCUUUGGAUUACAGGCUUGUGCUACCAUGCCUGAUGCUACUUAUUUUAGAAUUUGACCAUGGGAAUCUAGAAGAUGGUUCAGUGCUUAACAGCACUGGAUGCUCUUGCAGGUUCAAUUUCCAACACCUGCACAGUAGCUCACAGCUGCCUGUAACUCCAGUUCCAGCAGAUCUGAUGUUCAGUUCUGAGGGGCCAGGCACACUCAUGGCAGACAGACACACUUGCAGCUAAAAGAUUCAUGCAAUAAAAAUAAAUAAAGAUAUUAAAAAAUAAAUUGUAAGCUGGGAACAUGCCUUUAAUCCCAGCCCCUGUGAGUUAAAGGCCAGCCUGGUCUACAGAAUGAAUUCCAGGACAGCCAGGACUACACAGAGAAACCCUGUCUCAAAAAAAUCCAAAAAAGGGGGCUGGUGAGAUGGCUCAGUGGGUAAGAGCACCCGACUGCUCUUCCGAAGGUCAGGAGUUCAAAUCCCAGCAACCACAUGGUGGCUCACAACCAUCCGAUCACGAGAUCUGACUCCCUCUUCUGGAGUGUCUGAAGACAGCUACAGUGUACUUACAUAUAAUAAAUAAAUCUUUAAAAAAAAAAAAAAAUCCAAAAAAAUUUUUUUCUUUUAAUGAAUUUAACUGCAUAAUACGUUCUUUAAUUGACUUGGCUGAGUUUUUGCUAGGACACGGGACUUUCUAUAAUCAUUUUGCCUCUCAGGAGCUGGCAUUACAAACCUGUACUACCAGGCCUAGCUUCUCUGGUAUCUCUUCAAAAAUCUGGGGGCUGGAGAGAUGGCUCAGGCAUUAAGGACACAAGACAAAUCGUCUCUCCAAAGGACUUGAGUUCAUUUCCUGGCACCCAUACAGUGUGACACUCUACCACUAGGGAAUCCAACACCCUCUCCUAGCCUUUGUGGAUACUAUAUGCAAAUGUACACAUCCACCUAGUACAGCCACAUAUACACAUAAUGAAAAAUAAAAUCUUAUAAAUAAUCUGAUAAAGAAGCCAGACCUGGUGACACAGGCCCAUAAUCCCAGCUACUCAGGAGGCUGAUGCGGAAGGGUUAUAAUUUCAAGGCUUGCCUAGGCUGGAGAGUGAAUUCAAGGCCAGCCUGGACUGUGUCUUUAAAUUCAAAGUUUAUUUUAAAAAGCCGAUAUAAGAUGGGGCUGGAGAGAUGGUUCACUGGGUAAGAGCAGUAGCUGCUUUUGCAAAGGACUCGGGUUCAAGUCUCAGCUUAUAAAUAUACGCAAACUCCAGUUUUAGGAGAUAUAGCACCUUCUUUUGGUUCCCAAGGGGAUCAGACAGGCAUGGAGUGCAUUUAAUUACAGGCAGACAAAACAUUCAUACAUUAAAAAAAAAAAAAGUUUUAAAAAGAGCCAAAUGUAGUGGAUCGGGCUUUUAAAUCCAAUAUUUAGGAGACAGAGGCAAGUUUAUCUCUGUGAGUUAAAGGAAAGUCUGGUCUACAUAG